rnacentral:rRNA from 1 species
UAGGGAAUUUUCCGCAAUGGGCGAAAGCCUGACGGAGCAAUGCCGCGUGGAGGUGGAAGGCCUACGGGUCGUCAACUUCUUUUCUCGGAGAAGAAACAAUGACGGUAUCUGAGGAAUAAGCAUCGGCUAACUCUGUGCCUG